GCGAUAGCUCAGUCGGUAGAGCAGUGGUCUGGUAAUCCAAUGACCCGGGUUCGAAACCAGGUCGAUGCA
rnacentral:tRNA from 1 species